ACGCUGGAAGAGCCACGUGUCUCCAUCAGAGUUAAAGAUCCCUUCUCCAAGAAAAUCAUGGAAGACGACUUGCCAGGUGGGGCCUUUGGGGUAAUUAUCGAAUCGGGUUUUCAAGAUGUGCUCUAUAUUUCUCGGGUCACAGGUGACGGUGACGAGACCCUGCUUCUUGGCCAGAAAGGGAAUUGCACAGGUGCACGUCUGGUACGUGCCACCGCAGGCGCGUAGGUUGUCACAGAUCCAGUCAUGCAAGCGAUCACAGUUCUCGAUCAAGCCGGGGAGACUGCCCAAUAAGGGCCAUACAUGUGGGCCCUUUAAUGACCGCCAGAUGAAGGUGAACCACAGUAAGUAAGCAGUGACAGCCGAGAAAAGCAUUAAAGCGGUAGAUGCGUCCAUAGCAUAUCAAGAGAAGGCUUGCUUACCUUAGGAAAAUAAAAACUUUGCACAAAUGCAAGCCCAGAUUCUGUUUUGCUGGAUAGAAGCUUUUGGGUUUUCAACCAUGAGCAGAAGUGAGAAGUAAGAUCAACGUACAAGAAAGUGAAAGAAAUGGAGGCUUUGGGGGGGUGACUUAUUGGAAGAGAAAUGCAGAGAUGGUAAGGGAUGGAGGAGUGGUAGUACAAAAAUGGAGUGUAAUUAUAAAGGAGAUUUAUAGGAGAAAUGUAUUGGAAGCAAUUAUUAAGGACAGACUGUUUCUUAAAAUUGCACCAUUGCCUCUUCUCUCUAUCUAGCAAUCAGACGCAGUACCAUAAAUGCCCUGAGAGGUCGUUGAGACUUUGAUGGUAAAAACACCCAUUUUCAUUUUUCUUAUUUUUUCCCCCAAGGAAACUACUCUAGAAAACCCUCUCUAUCUCUCCAUAUAUAUGGAGUGCACACCUAAUUUUGCAGGCAUUGAAUGAAGAGAAUUUAAUGGGAUUAGUUGAGGAAGCAAGAGUAAGACAAAGCAGAUCAGAGAAAAAAAGAAGAGACACAAAAUUAAGCAAAAGUUGUGUACUGAGAUGGCAAAUAAAAAAAAGGAUUAUGCUAUGUGAUCCAGAGGGUUGUGGGAGAGCUUAAGGAUGGUUCUGUUGUAUUAUGAUCAUAUGGAAAUUAAAACGGCUUUGGUGGGUUACACGAAGCUAGUGUGUUAUGUUUAUAGAGAUUAGAGAGAGAGAGUCUUAAAUGAAAAAGGGAGUGGUCAUGUGGAGUUUUGGUUAGGAUUCGGUGAGCAACCCGCCAACAAUUUAAUAGUAAUAUAGGAUUCUCACUCGUUGCUGUUUUUCUUAUAUCCUUU
rnacentral:misc_RNA from 1 species